CGAUGAUUCAACGUUUCACACGGACACAAGCACCAUGGUUCACCUUCUCUGUAAACGGGUCAUAACAAAAGGGCUAGGCUUUUUAACAUCAUCAUCAGGUUAAUUUAAGUUAACUUUGGAAAAGGAAGAGUUGAUACAGGGCGUUGUCAACCGAAUCAUCACUAAGUUCCAAGAUUUGAACAAGGAACUAACCCAUAAACUCGAAGUUCAAACGCAAAGAUUAGAGCUGUUGAUAAUACUCCUUACGCCGAUGAAGGUGACGAGGUUGUGGAAAGAGUUCUAGGAUGGAUAAUGAAGGACCAUCAAAGCGGCAAACUAAGCAUCUAUGAGUCUAAACGAAAUGAGAAUCUUUUACUAAAAGUUCACAUGUAGUCCAGAUCUCUUUUCACUACCAUUAGAGGUGCAAUUUCAUCUCAUUGGGAAAUUUUGUGCAAAGACAGUGUUUCCAUGUUUAGUUAUGGAUGUGGGAAUGCAAAUAGAAUAUAUUGAGUUGAAGAGGACAUUGUAAAAUCAAUGUUUUUAUGGUUUUUCUUUCUUCAAUUAGAGGAAAAUGUUUUUA